UGUGGAAGAAUGUGGGAGUUUAAGAGAGAGACAGAGAGACAACUACAGUAAGAGAGAGGUCAGGAAAGUAAGGCGUAAUGUGGAAGAAUGUGGGAGUUUAAGAGAGAGACAGAGAGACAACUACAGUAAGAGAGAGGUCAGGAAAGUAAGGCGUAAUGUGGAAGAAUGUGGGAGUUUAAGAGAGAGACAGAGAGACAACUACAGUAAGAGAGAGGUCAGGAAAGUAAGGCGUAAUGUGGAAGAAUGUGGGAGUUUAAGAGAGAGGCAGAGAGACAACUACAGUAAGAGAGAGGUCAGGAAAGUAAGGCGUAAUGUGGAAGAAUGUGGGAGUUUAAGAGAGAGACAGAGAGACAACUACAGUAAGAGAGAGGUCAGGAAAGUAAGGCGUAAUGUGGAAGAAUGUGGGAGUUUAAGAGAGAGACAGAGAGACAACUACAGUAAGAGAGAGGUCAGGAAAGUAAGGCGUAAUGUGGAAGAAUGUGGGAGUUUAAGAGAGAGACAGAGAGACAACUACAGUAAGAGAGAGGUCAGGAAAGUAAGGCGUAAUGUGGAAGAAUGUGGGAGUUUAAGAGAGAGA